AAAUUAGCUUGGUGUGGUGGCGUGCACUUGUGGUCCCAGCUGCUUGGGAGGCUGAGGUGGGAGGAUUGCUUGAGCACAGAAGGUAGAUGCUGCAGUGAGCUGGUAUCUCACCACUGCACUCCAGCCUUGGCAACAGAGGGAGACUUGUCUCAAGAAAGAAAAGGGAAGAAGGGAAGGGAAAGGAAGGGAAAAGGGAAGGGAAAAGGGAAGGGAAGAGGGGAGGGAAAAGGGAAGGGAAGAGGGGAGGGAAAAGGGAAGGGAAGGGGUGGGAAAAGGGAAGGGAAGGGGUGGGAAAAGGGAAGGGAAGGGGAGGGAAAAGGGAAGGGAAGGGGUGGGAAAAGGGAAGGGAAAGGGAAGGGAAGGGGUGGGAAAAGGGAAGGGAAGGGGUGGGAAAAGGAAGGGAAGGGGUGGGAAAAGGGAAGGGAAGGGGUGGGAAAAGGAAGGGAAGGGGUGGGAAAAGGGAAGGGAAGGGGUGGGAAAAGGGAAGGGGAGGGGAGGGAAAAGGGAAGGGAAGGGGAAGGGAAGGGGAGGGGAAAGGGAAGGGAAGGGGGAGGAAAAGGGAAGGGAGGGGGAGGGAAAGGGGAAGGGAAGGGGUGGGAAAAGGGAAGGGAAGGGGAGGGAAAAGGGAGGGGAAGGGGAGGGGAAAAGGGAAGGGGAGGGGGGAAAAGGGAAGGGAAGGGGAGGGGAAAGGGAAGGGAAGGGGUGGGAAAAGGGAAGGGAAGGGGUGGGAAAAGGGAAGGGAAGGGGCGGGAAAAGGGAAGGGAAGGGGAGGGGAAAGGGAAGGGAAGGGGCGGGAAAAAGGAAGGGAAGGGGCGGAAAAAGGGAAGGGAAGGGGAGGGAAGGGGAGGGGAAAGGGAAGGGAAGGGGCGGGAAAAGGGAAGGGAAGGGGAGGGAAGGGAAGGGAGGGGGGAGGGAAAGGGGAAGGGAAGGGGUGGGGAAAAGGGAGGGGAAAGGGGUGGGAAAAAGGAAGGGAAGGGGUGGGAAAAGGGAAGGGGAGGGGAGGGAAAAGGGAAGGGAAGGGGAAGGGAAGGGGCGGGAAAAGGG
rnacentral:lncRNA from 1 species